rnacentral:tRNA from 1 species
CUAGAAAGAAGGGAUUCGAACCCUACCAAAAGAGAUCAAAACUCUUAGUGCUUCCACUACACCACUUUCUA